AGAGUUUGAUCAUGGCUCAGAUUGAACGCUGGCGGCAUGCUUUACACAUGCAAGUCGAACGGUAACAUAAGAAAGCUUGCUUUCUUGAUGACGAGUGGCGAACGGGUGAGUAAUACAUCGGAACGUACCCUGUAGUGGGGGGAUAACUACUCGAAAAGAGUGGCUAAUACCGCAUACAACCUGAGGGUAAAAGUGGGGGACCGCAAGGCCUCACGCUAUAGGAGCGGCCGAUGGAAGAUUAGGUAGUUGGUGGGGUAAAGGCCUACCAAGCCGACGAUCUUUAGCGGGUCUGAGAGGACGAUCCGCCACACUGGGACUGAGACACGGCCCAGACUCCUACGGGAGGCAGCAGGUGGGGAAUUUUGGACAAUGGGCGAAAGCCUGAUCCAGCAAUGCCGCGUGAGUGAAGAAGGCCGUUCGGGUUGUAAAGCUUCUUUUGUUUGGGAAGAAAUCCUUAAGGCUAAUAUCCUUGGGGGAUGACGGUACCAAAAGAAUAAGCACCGGCUAACUACGUG
rnacentral:rRNA from 1 species